UAAUGUCUGGGAAACUGCCUGAUGGAGGGGGAUAACUACUGGAAACGGUAGCUAAUACCGCAUAAUGUCGCAAGACCAAAGUGGGGGACCUUCGGGCCUCAUGCCAUCAGAUGUGCCCAGAUGGGAUUAGCUAGUGGGUGGGGUAACGGCUCACCUAGGCGACGAUCCCUAGCUGGUCUGAGAGGAUGACCAGCCACACUGGAACUGAGACACGGUCCAG
rnacentral:rRNA from 1 species